rnacentral:rRNA from 1 species
CCUACGGGUGGCAGCAGUGGGGAAUAUUGGACAAUGGGGGGAACCCUGAUCCAGCGACGCCGCGUGAGUGAAGAAGUAUCUCGGUAUGUAAAGCUCUAUCAGCAGGGAAGAAAGAAAUGACGGUACCUGACCAAGAAGCCCCGGCUAACUACGUGCCAGCAGCCGCGGUAAUACGUAGGGGGCAAGCGUUAUCCGGAUUUACUGGGUGUAAAGAGUUGCGUAGGUGGCACAAUAAGUAGCUAGUGAAAUCUGGUGGCUCAACCAUUCAGACUAUUAGCUAAACUGUUAAGCUCGAGACCGUUAGGGGUAACUGGAAUUUCUAGUGUAGGAGUGAAAUGCGUAGAUAUUAGAAGGAACACCGAUAGCGUAGGCAGGUUACUGGGACGGUUCUGACGCUAAGGCACGAAAGCGUAGGGAGCGAACGGGAUUAGAUACCCUGGUAGUC